GAUGAACGCUAGCUACAGGCUUAACACAUGCAAGUCGAGGGGCAUCAGGAAGAAAGCUUGCUUUCUUUGCUGGCGACCGGCGCACGGGUGAGUAACACGUAUCCAACCUGCCCUUUACUCGGGGAUAGCCUUUCGAAAGAAAGAUUAAUACCCGAUGGCAUAAUGAUUCCGCAUGGUUUCAUUAUUAAAGGAUUCCGGUAAAGGAUGGGGAUGCGUUCCAUUAGGUUGUUGGUGAGGUAACGGCUCACCAAGCCUUCGAUGGAUAGGGGUUCUGAGAGGAAGGUCCCCCACAUUGGAACUGAGACACGGUCCAAACUCCUACGGGAGGCAGCAGUGAGGAAUAUUGGUCAAUGGGCGCUAGCCUGAACCAGCCAAGUAGCGUGAAGGAUGAAGGCUCUAUGGGUCGUAAACUUCUUUUAUAUAAGAAUAAAGUGCAGUAUGUAUACUGUUUUGUAUGUAUUAUAUGAAUAAGGAUCGGCUAACUCCGUGCCAGCAGCUGCGGUAAUACGGAGGAUCCGAGCGUUAUCCGGAUUUAUUGGGUUUAAAGGGAGCGUAGGUGGACUGGUAAGUCAGUUGUGAAAGUUUGCGGCUCAACCGUAAAAUUGCAGUUGAUACUGUCAGUCUUGAGUACAGUAGAGGUGGGCGGAAUUCGUGGUGUAGCGGUGAAAUGCUUAGAUAUCACGAAGAACUCCGAUUGCGAAGGCAGCUCACUGGACUGCAACUGACACUGAUGCUCGAAAGUGUGGGUAUCAAACAGG
rnacentral:rRNA from 1 species